rnacentral:rRNA from 1 species
UGCCAGCCGCCGCGGUAAUACGGAGGGUGCGAGCGUUAAUCGGAAUUACUGGGCGUAAAGCGCGCGUAGGCGGCUUAGUCAGUCGGAUGUGAAAGCCCAGGGCUUAACCUUGGAAUUGCAUUCGAUACUGCUGAGCUAGAGUAUGGGAGAGGGAAGUGGAAUUUCCGGUGUAGCGGUGAAAUGCGUAGAUAUCGGAAGGAACACCAGUGGCGAAGGCGACUUCCUGGACUGAAACUGACACUGAGACACGAAAGCGUGGGGAGCGAAGAGGAUUAGAUA